rnacentral:lncRNA from 1 species
AAAGAGGUGAUGGGUGGGAGAGUGCUGACAUACUAUGUGAAGCUACUAUUUGGAGUUGGACAGUAGUGCAUGUGACUUUGUGUCACAGCGGGAAUGUGAGCUGGAUGACAAAUGGAGAUUUGGACUUGUGAUAAUUGGCCUCUGUGUCAUUGUGUGGAAGACUGACUGGUCCCUUUAUUUCCUGUAGCUUGACUACCACACAAAUGAAUCCAUUCAAAUGUUGGCAAGUGGAGCAGAGUCCCAGGACAGUCUGCAAUCUCUACAGGUACAGAAACACCCCCAGUUCAAGGAUCUUCACACCUGGAUUUAGGCCUACACCUGCAACUACCCCAGGCCAGUUAUCCAGGCAGUGACUUUCUGUACAGCUACAGUCACCUCUGGACACCUGCGGAGACUUUAAAAAUUUCCAGAAGGUCAGGAAUUUGUGGAGACCUUUCUCAUGGCUACGUUGCUUGCAAAGGUGAAUCAAUAAGCUUCUGAACUGACUUAGAAAAUGUUG